rnacentral:rRNA from 1 species
AGCAGCCGCGGUAAUUCCAGCUCCAAUAGCGUAUAUUAAAGUUGUUGCAGUUAAAAAGCUCGUAGUUGAAUUUCGGAAUCUGUCCAUCGGUCGGGCAAUAGUCUGUACUGGCGUGUAGAAUUUCUACCUUCUGGGGAACCAUCAUGUUAUUUAUUUAGCGUGGUGGGAAACCAGGACCUUUACCUUGAAAAAAUUAGAGUGUUCAAAGCAGGCUUACGUCUGAAUACAUUAGCAUGGAAUAAUAAAAUAGGACGGUGGUCCUGUUUUGUUGGUUUCUGAAUCACCGUA